GAAAUUCUCAUGAUUUAUAAGAUUAAUGAUGGUGUUUAAAAUUCUAGUUAACAGACUUUCGAUGUCACACUGGAUGUUAUGACAUCCAAUUUUGCGCAGACAAGAAUGAUGUAGAACUUAAAUGUAAUGAGCAGUAAAUAACACAAAGAAUUGUUUACCCAGUUCGGUACAAACACACCUACGUCUGGGGGCUACCAAGCCAGGGAGGAAAUCCACUAUUAG
rnacentral:lncRNA from 1 species